rnacentral:rRNA from 2 species
AGAGUUUGAUCCUGGCUCAGGACGAACGCUGGCGGCGUGCUUAACACAUGCAAGUCGAACGGAAAGGCCUAGCUUGCUAGGUACUCGAGUGGCGAACGGGUGAGUAACACGUGGGUGAUCUGCCUCGUACUUCGGGAUAAGCCUGGGAAACUGGGUCUAAUACUGGAUAGGACCAUGCUUUAGUGUGUGUGGUGGAAAGUUUUUCGGUACGAGAUGAGCCCGCGGCCUAUCAGCUUGUUGGUGGGGUAAUGGCCUACCAAGGCGUCGACGGGUAGCCGGCCUGAGAGGGUGGACGGCCACAUUGGGACUGAGAUACGGCCCAGACUCCUACGGGAGGCAGCAGUGGGGAAUAUUGCACAAUGGGCGCAAGCCUGAUGCAGCGACGCCGCGUGGGGGAUGACGGCCUUCGGGUUGUAAACCUCUUUCGCUAGGGACGAAGCUUUUGUGACGGUACCUAGAUAAGAAGCACCGGCUAACUACGUGCCAGCAGCCGCGGUAAUACGUAGGGUGCGAGCGUUGUCCGGAAUUACUGGGCGUAAAGAGCUCGUAGGUGGUUUGUCGCGUCGUCUGUGAAAUUCCGGGGCUUAACUUCGGGCGUGCAGGCGAUACGGGCAUAACUUGAGUGCUGUAGGGGAGACUGGAAUUCCUGGUGUAGCGGUGGAAUGCGCAGAUAUCAGGAGGAACACCGAUGGCGAAGGCAGGUCUCUGGGCAGUAACUGACGCUGAGGAGCGAAAGCAUGGGGAGCGAACAGGAUUAGAUACCCUGGUAGUCCAUGCCGUAAACGGUGGGCGCUAGGUGUGAGGGUCUUCCACGACUUUCGUGCCGUAGCUAACGCAUUAAGCGCCCCGCCUGGGGAGUACGGCCGCAAGGCUAAAACUCAAAGGAAUUGACGGGGGCCCGCACAAGCGGCGGAGCAUGUGGAUUAAUUCGAUGCAACGCGAAGAACCUUACCUGGGCUUGACAUAUGCAGGAUCGGCGUAGUGAUACGUUUUCCCUUGUGGUCUGUAUACAGGUGGUGCAUGGUUGUCGUCAGCUCGUGUCGUGAGAUGUUGGGUUAAGUCCCGCAACGAGCGCAACCCUUGUCUUAUGUUGCCAGCACGUGAUGGUGGGGACUCAUGAGAGACUGCCGGGGUUAACUCGGAGGAAGGUGGGGAUGACGUCAAAUCAUCAUGCCCCUUAUGUCCAGGGCUUCACACAUGCUACAAUGGUCGGUACAACGCGCUGCGAGCCUGUGAGGGUGAGCGAAUCGCUGAAAGCCGGCCUCAGUUCGGAUUGGGGUCUGCAACUCGACCCCAUGAAGUCGGAGUCGCUAGUAAUCGCAGAUCAGCAACGCUGCGGUGAAUACGUUCCCGGGCCUUGUACACACCGCCCGUCACGUCAUGAAAGUUGGUAACACCCGAAGCCAGUGGCCUAACCCUUGUGGGGGGGAGCUGUCGAAGGUGGGAUCGGCGAUUGGGACGAAGUCGUAACAAGGUAGCCGUACCGGAAGGUGCGGCUGGAUCACCU